UUGAAAAAAACAUAUGUGACAGCGUUGUGGGCACAUUAUUAGGCAUUGCUGGGAAAACCAAAGACACAGUCAAGGCAAGAUUGGAUUUACAAGACAUGGGUAUAAGAGAUGAUCUGCAUAUUGAAAAAGAUGGGUCUGAUUUUAAGAAGCAUACUCCGUAUUAUACAAUAGUACCACAGCAACGUCGGCCUUUUUGGCAAUGGUUCAAAACUGUCAAAUUUCCUGAGGGGUUUGCUUCUAAUAUUUCUCGAUGUGUUAAAGAUGGAAAGAUCUCCGGUCUCAAGACUCAUGAUUGUCAUGUGUUGUUGCAAAGACUUCUUCCGGUGGUAAUUCGACCUUACUUAAGUAGAGAGGUUGCAGACUGAUAUUGUGGUGAUACUAUGUAAACUUGAGCAAAUCUUCCCACCUGCUUUUUUUGAUGUUAUGGUGCAUUUGGCUGUGCAUCUACCGCAUGAGGCAUUACUUGGUGGGCCAGUUCCUAUGAGAUGGAUGUUUCCAAUUGAGAGGAAGUUGGGAAAUCUGAAGGAUUAUGUACGUAAUAAAGCACAUCCUGAAGGCUCCAUCGCUGAAGGAUAUAUUGCAGAAGAAUCAUUAACCUUUUGUUCCAUGUAUCUCAAAGAUGUUGAGACAAGUUUCUCACGACCAGAGC